AUUGAACGCUGGCGGCAGGCUUAACACAUGCAAGUCGAGCGAGCGGCGGACGGGUGAGUAAUGUCUGGGAAACUGCCUGAUGGAGGGGGAUAACUACGGGAAACGGUAGCUAAUACCGCAUACCAUCGGAUGUGCCCAGAUGGGAUUAGCUAGUAGGUGGGGUAAUGGCUCACCUAGGCGACGAUCCCUAGCUGGUCUGAGAGGAUGACCAGCCACACUGGAACUGAGACACGGUCCAGACUCCUACGGGAGGCAGCAGUGGGGAAUAUUGCACAAUGGGCGCAAGCCUGACGCAGCCAUGCCGCGUGAGUGAAGAAGACCUUCGGGUUGUAAAGCACUUUCAGUGAGGAGGCGUUACUCGCAGAAGAAGCACCGGCUAACUCCGUGCCAGCCGCCGCGGUAAUUC
rnacentral:rRNA from 1 species